CUUUUGUUUUGAAAUGUCUCCUACCGGAAGCGUUUGCUGGGCGGAGCCGCCGGUUUUCACUUCCUUAUUGGACACAGCUAAUAGUGCUGCACAAUGAAAGUCCUCACUUUAUUGAGUUUAUUUUCAAUAUUUUUAUUAGCGAACAGCAUUAACAUCGAGGACAACGCAGGGCAGUUCUUCAGCAGUGGUCAUACUAACAAUUGGGCUGUUCUGGUGUGUACAUCCAGAUUCUGGUUCAACUACCGUCAUGUGGCCAAUACUCUGUCCGUCUACAGAAGUGUUAAGAGGCUGGGCAUUCCUGACAGG